UACAUGCAAGUCGAACGCACAGCGAAAGGUGCUUGCACCUUUCAAGUGAGUGGCGAACGGGUGAGUAACACGUGGACAACCUGCCUCAAGGCUGGGGAUAACAUUUGGAAACAGAUGCUAAUACCGAAUAAAACUUAGUGUCGCAUGACACAAAGUUAAAAGGCGCUUCGGCGUCACCUAGAGAUGGAUCCGCGGUGCAUUAGUUAGUUGGUGGGGUAAAGGCCUACCAAGACAAUGAUGCAUAGCCGAGUUGAGAGACUGAUCGGCCACAUUGGGACUGAGACACGGCCCAAACUCCUACGGGAGGCUGCAGUAGGGAAUCUUCCACAAUGGGCGAAAGCCUGAUGGAGCAACGCCGCGUGUGUGAUGAAGGCUUUCGGGUCGUAAAGCACUGUUGUAUGGGAAGAACAGCUAGAAUAGGAAAUGAUUUUAGUUUGACGGUACCAUACCAGAAAGGGACGGCUAAAUACGUGCCAGCAGCCGCGGUAAUACGUAUGUCCCGAGCGUUAUCCGGAUUUAUUGGGCGUAAAGCGAGCGCAGACGGUUUAUUAAGUCUGAUGUGAAAGCCCGGAGCUCAACUCCGGAAUGGCAUUGGAAACUGGUUAACUUGAGUGCAGUAGAGGUAAGUGGAACUCCAUGUGUAGCGGUGGAAUGCGUAGAUAUAUGGAAGAACACCAGUGGCGAAGGCGGCUUACUGGACUGCAACUGACGUUGAGGCUCGAAAGUGUGGGUAGCAAACAGGAUUAGAUACCCUGGUAGUCCACACCGUAAACGAUGAACACUAGGUGUUAGGAGGUUUCCGCCUCUUAGUGCCGAAGCUAACGCAUUAAGUGUUCCGCCUGGGGAGUACGACCGCAAGGUUGAAACUCAAAGGAAUUGACGGGGACCCGCACAAGCGGUGGAGCAUGUGGUUUAAUUCGAAGCAACGCGAAGAACCUUACCAGG
rnacentral:rRNA from 1 species